rnacentral:sRNA from 1 species
UAAAGCCUAUUGGCUCUGGGGCUCAGGGCAUAGUUUGUGCCGCGUAUGAUGCUGUCCUUGACAGAAAUGUGGCCAUUAAGAAGCUCAGCAGACCCUUUCAGAACCAAACACAUGCCAAGAGAGCGUACCGGGAGCUGGUCCUCAUGAAGUGUGUGAACCAUAAAAACAUUAUUAGUUUAUUAAAUGUCUUCACACCCCAGAAAACGCUGGAGGAGUUCCAAGAUGUGUAAGUAACAAAACUCAUGAAGGAAGGGAGAGCACAGCACUCAGAUAGCCCAAGGAAAUAUCACACACACACACACACACAAACACACACACACACACACACACACACAGAGUUGAAAUCCCUUGUACUGCUCAAAGAGAGGUAAGAGUUGGGGUCAAAUGAAAGCAGUCCAGUGAUAGGUAAAGAAGAUUCUGUUUGUGGGGUUACUUCCUGAAAAGACAUUCUGCCUCCUUUUGGCCUUGUGGCUUUAUAUACUUUGUUGUUCCACGCUCUUGGUCACUCAGGUAAGGCUUAUUUAUUUAUGAUUAUUAAUAGA